UCGGGAAUUUUGGGCAAUGGGCGAAAGCCUGACCCAGCAACGCCGCGUGAAGGAUGAAAUCCCUCGGGAUGUAAACUUCGCAAGAACGGGAAAAAUAAGUUUGUGCUAAUACCACAAGCGAUGACGGUACUGUUUGUAAGCUCCGGCUAACUCCGUGCCAGCAGCCGCGGUAAUACGGGGGGAGCAAGCGUUGUUCGGCUUUACUGGGCGUAAAGGGCGCGUAGGCGGCCUCCGCAAGUCACUUGUGAAAUCUCCGGGCUUAACUCGGAAAGGUCAACUGAUACUGCGGGGCUAGAGUGCGGAAGGGGCAACUGGAAUUCUUGGUGUAGCGGUGAAAUGCGUAGAUAUCAAGAGGAACACCUGCGGCGAAGGCGGGUUGCUGGGCCGACACUGACGCUGAGGCGCGAAAGCUAGGGGAGCGAA
rnacentral:rRNA from 1 species